GAGGGCAUAGCUCAAGUGGUAGAGCACGUGCUUAGCACGCACGAGGUCCUGGGUUCAAUCCCCAGUGCCUCUG
rnacentral:tRNA from 1 species